UACAGAGGUCUCAAGCGUUUGUUCGGAUUCAUUGGGCGUAAAGGGUGCGUAGGCGGCGCGGUAAGUCGGGUGUGAAAUCUCGGAGCUUAACUCCGAAACUGCAUUCGAUACUGCCGUGCUUGAGGACUGGAGAGGAGACUGGAAUUUACGGUGUAGCGGUGAAAUGCGUAGAUAUCGUAAGGAAGACCAGUGGCGAAGGCGGGUCUCUGGGCCAUUACUGACGCUGAGGAGCGAAAAGCGUGGGGGAGCGAACAGG
rnacentral:rRNA from 1 species